UACGUAGGGUGCAAGCGUUGUCCGGAAUUAUUGGGCGUAAAGAGCUUGUAGGCGGUUUGUCGCGUCUGCUGUGAAAUUUCGGGGCUCAACCCCGAACUUGCAGUGGGUACGGGCAGACUAGAGUGUGGUAGGGGAGACUGGAAUUCCUGGUGUAGCGGUGAAAUGCGCAGAUAUCUGGAGGAACACCAGUGGCGAAGGCGGCAUCCUGGACCGGCAUUGACGCUGAGGCGCGAAAGCUAGGGUAGCAAACGGG
rnacentral:rRNA from 1 species